GCCAGAACGCCACAGCGCCCGUUGCCGGUGGCCAUUUUGUAUGAGCUUGGGAAGGGCUCAGGGGCCCGGAGACAAGGGGUCUGUUUCUUUAGGGACCAAAUGACUCUGGAGGGAGAAGCCAAGGCAGGGGAAAGAGAUUGAACAGAGAAGACAGACAGAUGGAGCUCUUAGAACUUGAAGAGACUUAGAGAACUUCAGUCCAAUCCCACAACCCAAUAUCGGACUCCGCCCAAAAGCAAGCGGGAAGUGGCUCGCUGCACCUUCCCUGGAGGGUGGAGAAGUUCUUCCUUAUUGUCAGCUAACAUCAGCCUUCCUGUCACAGCUGCCUCUGCACUGAGCUGUGUAUGUGCGUGUAUCAGAUUCAAGAGGGUGGCAAGAGAUGAGUUAAAGAUCUUCUAGCUAAACCUCCCACUCGCCUUCAGCUCCAGGGGCGAGCCUGCUAACCUAGGAGAGCCGCCUGCUCUCAGAAACUGGAGUCCUUGGGGGGCGCUGUUGGCACCAUGCUAUGGCCCACUCCCUCCCUUCUCUCCCCAGAAUAACCACUGCUCAACAAGUUUGAGUCCUCGGGCAGCAACAGCUAAUACAGGGCGAGGCCGUCCGAGAGGAAGGAAACCCGAGGAACCGGAUGAGGACAUUGAAACUCAGAGACUAAGACGGGCUAAACUUCAGCUCCCAAUACAGAAGUAAAUUAAUCUUAGAAUUGGAAUAGAGAAAGUGUCUUAGAGGUUUUACCCUUUCUGCAGAAGAAAUUGUUGUAACACAUGUGACACGUGUGUUUGAACGAGCCCAGAGGUGGGGAACUCACUGCUUCCCAAGGCAAUGCCCAUCCCUCUCUGUACCAUGCUGACUAAUAAAAGUGUCUUCUUUGUGUCUACUCUGAUGGACUGGCUAGGAGCCAUACGAUAAUUGCCAAACUGCCCUCCAAAGAUGUUAUACCAAUUUAUAUUCCACCAACAAUAUAAAGAGUGUCUCGCCAAUCCAAAGUUUUGUCAAACAUCUGGAAAUUUGCCUAUCUGAUAUGUGAAAAAUAGUGUAAAAAAUUUGCCAACUUCUGAUACAGAAGGACAAGGAGAAGAGGAAAAGGAAGAAGAGAAGGGGAGGAGGAGGAGAAAGACGAGGAAGAGGAAGAGAAAAGGACAAAGGAGAGAAGCGGGGAAGAGGAGGAUGAGAAAAGGAGAAGGGAAGACAUUCUGAAAAUAAAUUGAAUUUUCUUGGCAUAGACUGUGCCAAGGAAAAAUAUUAAUUUGGAGAAAUAAACGAAACGGAGAUUGUAGGUUUGUUUUCCUCUUUUAUAGUCUUCCCCCUUGGUACAAGCCGAGGAGCUUUAUUUUGGUUUUAUAUUAUACUGCGGUCCACUUCACAAAGACCCACAAAUCUCUCAUCAUUUUUUUCUACCAGCCGAAGCCAGAAGUGCCUCCAGAGGUUCCAAAUCUCGUGCUUGUUCACGUAUUUAAUGAGGUGUGGACGGUCUCAGGGGACCCCUUGAAAUGUGGAAAGCUAGGGUUCUUUUUUUAACACUCCCUUUGGGAUAAUACGUGCUACUGCUUUUCGAUUCUCCUUCUUUCUUAGAGGACUGACAAGAAACCCUUCUAAACUGGCUUUUAUUUUUUUUUUUUAAAAUGUGUUGUAACAGGACACCAAGGAUUUUCUUGCCAGAAAGUAUAGUGUUUCUUACUUCUAAAUAUUAAACAAAGGAAUUUCCGCUCCCGUGUCUCAGUGGGUUACCCUGGGUUUUUAAUGCUCCAGCUGUUUCCCCUUCUUUCCUCACACGCUGCAGUUUGCUACAAGUUACUCACUGAUCUCACCGGGCCCUCUCCAGUCCUAUGCAGGCUUCAUCCUCUUCAGAGGCGGUGACAAGGACCCAUUAUGAAAAGGCAAAAAUUAUACUGACCUGCACGAAGAGAAGAAGUGCAAUAGGCUUCCCGGCUCCUCCAUAAAGAGGAGAUUACUGUGGCCGCAAAAAAACUCUGAAACCUUUCCCAGAAGCCAAUUGCCAGACUGAGAAUUCUGAAGGAACAUAAGACAAAUAAAUAACACGUUACUUUCUUCUCCAAGGAAAAAGCAAAAGGUUAUGAAAAUUAAUAAAAGCAAAUGCAAGCAUGAAAUUUGGAUUAAGACGACAUUUUUCAUCCUGACUUUCAAUUGUUUACAGAUAAUUUUGAAGUAGCUUAAAUUCAUCUAAUCCAUAGCAUGGAUUACUAUAAAAAAAAUUUGAGUGGUUUACAAAACAGGAUGUAUAACAAAAUCUGUUUUUCUAAAAAAGAAAUAAAGAUAUAUUUAUGAA
rnacentral:lncRNA from 1 species